CCUACGGGAGGCAGCAGUGAGGAAUAUUGGUCAAUGGACGAGAGUCUGAACCAGCCAAGUAGCGUGAAGGAUGACUGCCCUAUGGGUUGUAAACUUCUUUUAUAUGGGAAUAAAAUGUUCCACGUGUGGGAUUUUGUAUGUACCAUAUGAAUAAGGAUCGGCUAACUCCGUGCCAGCAGCCGCGGUAAUACGGAGGAUCCGAGCGUUAUCCGGAUUUAUUGGGUUUAAAGGGAGCGUAGGUGGAUUGUGAAGGCAGUUGUGAAAGUUUGCGGCUCAAACGUAAAAUUGCAGUUGAAACUGGCAGUCGUGAGUACAGUAGAGGUGGGCGGAAUUCGUGGUGUAGCGGUGAAAUGCUUAGAUAUCACGAAGAACUACGAUUGCGAAGGCAGCUCACUGGACUGCAACUGACACUGAGGCUCGAAAGUGUGGGUAUCAAACAGGAUUAGAUACCCCAGUAGUC
rnacentral:rRNA from 1 species